GAUGAUAAAAAAAAUCCUCCUCAUCCUCAAUCCUCUUUCUUCUUUAUCCUCUCUUCUCCGUCUUCCUUCUCGUUUGCCAUAGAUGACCGUGAGAGUGAUGGAGUCUCCUUCUUCUUCUUCUGUCCUCUAUUACUCCCUUCAUUGUAGUAGCAGUAUCGAAGAUUCUUCCCUCUUCUUCACUUCAUCAACUUACUAUUAGCCUUUGGCGUACCAUGGUGCACGUAGAUAGCAAGGUUCUUGUAGGAGAUGCUAGCCCCGUGUGUAGGCCAAUGCACGUGGAACAGAGGGAUGAAUAUACAUGAGCAUUGUACUCAAGCUUGUUUCGUGGCUUCUGCCAUGCUUGUUUCAUGGCUUCCAACUGCGCUUGACUAGUUACUUACUUUUGUAGAUUGUGUGUCCACACUUAUUUAUUAUUUACCUUCAUGGAUUGCAUGUUCACGCUCGUUUUUAAUAGAGUCCUGCUAAAUGAUAUUUGAAA